rnacentral:tRNA from 1 species
GUCCUUAUAGUAUAACAAAUUACCCUGACCUUGUAAAUCAGAAAUGGGUUGACCAACACCCUAAGGACA